rnacentral:rRNA from 1 species
UGGGGAAUAUUGGUCAAUGGUCGGGAGACUGAACCAGCCAAGCCGCGUGAGGGAUGAAGGUACAGAGUAUCGUAAACCUCUUUUGUCAGGGAACAAAAGGCGCCACGCGUGGCGCUCCGAGUGUACCUGAAGAAAAAGCAUCGGCUAACUCCGUGCCAGCAGCCGCGGUAAUACGGAGGAUGCAAGCGUUAUCCGGAUUUAUUGGGUUUAAAGGGUGCGUAGGCGGCGAGUUAAGUCAGCGGUAAAAGCCCGGGGCUCAACCCCGGCCCGCCGUUGAAACUGGCUUGCUUGAGUUGGAGAGAAGUAGGCGGAAUGCGCGGUGUAGCGGUGAAAUGCUUAGAUAUCGCGCAGAACUCCGAUUGCGAAGGCAGCCUACCGGCUCCAGACUGACGCUGAGGCACGAAAGCGUGGGUAUCGAACAGGAUUAGAUACCC